GAGAUUAUAGUUAAAUAUAACAUCUAAUUUGCAAUUAGAAAUUAUCGAUAAAGAUUAUUCUCA
rnacentral:tRNA from 1 species